CAGUCUAGCUGUCUGCCGUGGCUAGGAUGCCAGAUGGCAAUCAGAGUGACCCUGAGAAUACGGGGCUGUGCGGGAUUGUAGAGCUCAUCUCUAAUCUUUCACUGCUGUGGGAAUUCUUUCAGGAUUCUCAGAUGGAAGAUGGCCCAGCAUCUUUUCACAUGUUUAUGUGCACAGCUGGUGGCUGCCUACCUCUGGAAACCAGCCCAUUUGACGCUGGUCCCUCUGGCUAUGGGGGUUUCCAGGCUGAUGUCCUCUCCCCGAGCAUCUGUUUCAGUUUUCUCUCUAGAAACUGUAACUGAUCCUGCUCGCACCUUCUACUUCAGAGACAAUACACCACUUCACAGCCCGCAAGCUCUCACAGUAUGCCAAACAGAGACCUGGAAAGGAGGAAACCUCCCUUGCCUGAGAACCCUGAAUUAAGCAGCGGCUAAAACACACAGGCAUGCCAGCAUCAGAUGCACUGAACUACUUUGACAGUGGUGCACGGAGCAGAGAGAAACAUCUUAACCUCUGAGUGGCUUCACUCUCUAGGCAGUGGGAGAAAGCAAGACAAACUUUGGCCUGCUGUUAUGAUUCUGUUCAGUGCCUGCAUGUGUCAGAUAGAUUCAUGGUGUCUUCUACAUACCUGGCACGGGCACUCCAUAGACGUUCACUUCCUCAACAAAAUCAACCAGUCCUACUAUGUCAGCAACUUCAGUGGUAGCUACAUUCUCUCCUUUCCACCUGGGAGAAAAGGAAGGGUUAGCAGAAACCAUGCUUGCUUUCUGGCUAGUGUUUCUUUUAGACCUUGGUGAGGUGGUUGAUAUUCCCAUACUGGUCCCCUAAGACCCCCCAGCUCACUUGACUCAUUCUGUUGGUGUCAAAAGGGUAUAGCCCUAGAUAAUAGAAUGUGAAAUUUCAAUCUUGUCACACAAAACAUAAUAGAUAUCAUUGUGUGCGAAUGUGAAAUCUAGAGUUGGCUAAGAAAUUUACUGGAUGUCAGAAAUAAAUCUCAACUUCUUUUA